rnacentral:tRNA from 6 species
GGGUCACUAGCUCAGUUGGUAGAGCACUUGACUUUUAAUCAAGUGGUCCGGAGUUCGAGCCUCCGGUGGCUCA